rfam:Treponema sp. JC4 contig00085, whole genome shotgun sequence.
GGUCAAGCGAAUACAGGUCUAUGGCGGAUGCCUAUGGAGCCGUAAGACGAAGAAGGACGCGGUAAGCUGCGAAAAGCCGGGGUCAGGAGCACACAUCCGUUUACCCCCGGAUAUCCGAAUGGAGUAAUCCGGUACAGUAAUGUAUCAUCCGAAGCACUGAAUAAAAUAGGUGCCGGAAGUCACACUGCAUGAAGUGAACCAUCUAAGUAAUGCGGGAACAGAAAUCAAUAGAGAUUCCCCAAGUAGCGGCGAGCGAACGGGGAGGAGCCCAAACCACAUUUUGUGGGGUUGUAGGACUGCGACGUGAGUUUGUAAAAACUGAAAGAUAGGAGAAGCGUUUGGGAAGGCGCGCCAGAGUGAGUGAAAGCCUCGUAUCCGAAAUCCGACAGUCUCUAGCAGUAUCCUGAGUAGGGCGGGGCACGAGAAACCCAGUCCGAAUCCGGGUCGACCACGAUCCAAGGCUAAAUACUAGACGGCUACCGAUAGCGUACAAGUACCGUGAGGGAAAGGUGAAAAGAACCCCGGUAAGGGGAGUGAAAUAGAACCUGAAACCAUAGACUGACAAGAUGUCACAGCACGCAAGUGUAGUGGCGUGUCUUUUGUAGAAUAAACCUGCGAGUCACGUUAUGCAGCGAGGCUAAGGAAUUGGAGUUCCGGAGCCGGAGCGAAAGCGAGUCUGAUAAGGGCGAGUAAGUUGCAUGACGUGGACCCGAAGCCAAGGUGAUCUAUCCAUGAGCAGGUUGAAGGCAGGGUAACACCUGUUGGAGGACCGAACAGUAAUCUGUUAAAAAAGGUAGUGAUGACUCGUGGAUCGGAGUGAAAGGCUAAUCAAACCUGGAGAUAGCUGGCUCUCCCCGAAAUGCCUUUAGGGACAGCCUCAUACAAAGCUUACGGAGGUAAAGCACUGGAUGGACAAUGGGGAGUCAAAUCCUACAAAGUUCAAUCAAACUCUGAAUGCCGUAAGCCAGCGUAUGGGAGUGAGACUGUGUGCGCCAAGGUUCAUAGUCGAGAGGGAAACAGCCCGGACCGGCGAUUAAGGUCCCAAAAUCAUGCUAAGUGUUAAAUGAAGUGAAGAUGCACAGACAGCCAGGAGGUUGGCUUAGAAGCAGCCAUUCCUUAAAAGAGUGCGUAACAGCUCACUGGUCGAGCAUCUUUGCGCAGACAAUGUAACGGGGCUAAGCAUGAUACCGAAAUCCCGGAUUCAUCACAUAGGUGAUGACUGGUAGGGGAGCAUUCUGCUAACUGAUGAAGGAGUACGGGUGACCGGCUCUGGAGGAGGCAGAAGAGAGAAUGCAGGCAUAAGUAACGAAAAGACGGGUGCGAUCCCCGUCCGCCGAAAACCUAAGGGUUCCGGGGUAAAGGCAAUCUGCCCCGGGUAAGUCGGCCCCUAAGGCGAGGACGAAAGUCGUAGUCGAUGGGAAAUCGGUUUAUAAUCCGAUACUUGAUAAGUUUCUAUGGAAUGACGCAUGAGGUGAAAUCCGGCCGGGCGACGGUUGUCCCGGUCAAAGCAACGAGGUGCUGAGGGAGUGGUUAAAAUAACUUCCGAGCUGAGUUGUUACAGCGAGCGGAAAGAAAGUUGAAGCGAAGCGGACGUAAUCAAGGUGCCGGGAAAUAGUUCCUAGGUGUGGCUUAUCAAACCGUACCGUAAACGGACACACGUAGGUGGGAUGAGUAAUCUAAGGCGCACGAGCGAACUCGCGUUAAGGAACUCGGCAAAAUGCGCACGUAACUUCGGAAGAAGUGCGGCUCCUGUUGUUAAAGAUGAGGAGCGACACAAAGCAGGCCCAGGCGACUGUUUAUCAAAAACACAGCCAUCUGCGAACCAGUAAUGGGACGUAUAGGUGGUGACACCUGCCCGGUGCUGGAAGGUUAAGAGGAGCGGUCAAGAGCAAUCUGAAGCUGUGAAUCGAAGCCCCAGUAAACGGCGGCCGUAACUAUAACGGUCCUAAGGUAGCGAAAUUCCUUGUCGGGUAAGUUCCGACCCGCACGAAUGGUGUAACGAUUCUGGGCACUGUCUCAACGCGAGACUCGGUGAAAUUUAUAUUCCGGUAAAGAAGCCGGAUACCCAUAAUUAGACGGAAAGACCCCGUGAACCUUCACCGUAACUUAAUAUUGGGAUCCUGUUCAUUAUGUGUAGGAUAGCUGGGAGGCAGUGAAGCGUGGCCGUCAGGUUGCGCAGAGCCAAUGGUGAAAUACCAGCCUUGAUGGACAGGAUUUCUAACCUUAGCCUUGAAGCAGGUUUGGGGACAAUGUUAGGCAGGCGGUUUGACUGGGGCGGUCGCCUCCCAAAGAGUAACGGAGGUGCGCGAAGGUCUCCUCGCGCUGGUUGGAAAUCAGCGUACGAGUGUAAAGGCACAAGGAGGCUUGACUGCGAGGGUGACAAUCCGAGCAGGUACGAAAGUAGGUCUUAGUGAUCUGAUGGUGCUGAGUGGAAAGGCCAUCACUUAACGGACAAAAGGUACUCCGGGGAUAACAGGCUGAUUUUCCCCAAGAGUUCACAUCGACGGGAAAGUUUGGCACCUCGAUGUCGGCUCAUCGCAUCCUGGGGCUGGAGCAGGUCCCAAGGGUUUGGCUGUUCGCCAAUUAAAGCGGUACGUGAGCUGGGUUCAGAACGUCGCGAGACAGUUCGGUCCCUAUCUGUUAUGGGCGCUGGAAGUUUGAGAGGAGCUGCUUUUAGUACGAGAGGACCGAAGUGGACGAACCUCUGGUUUACCAGUUAUCCUGCCAAGGGUAAGUGCUGGGUAUCUAAGUUCGGAAGGGAUAACCGCUGAAAGCAUCUAAGCGGGAAGCCCACCUCAAGAUAAGACUUCCCUAAGACUAUAAGUCUUCUGAAGACCCCAGAGAGACUAUCUGGUUGAUAGGAUGCAGGUGUAAGCACAGCGAUGUGUUCAGCCGAGCAUUACUAAUAGGUCGUGAGGCUUGACCAU